rnacentral:rRNA from 1 species
UACGAAGGGGGCUAGCGUUGUUCGGAAUUACUGGGCGUAAAGCGCACGUAGGCGGAUAUUUAAGUCAGGGGUGAAAUCCCGGGGCUCAACCCCGGAACUGCCUUUGAUACUGGGUAUCUCGAGUCCGAGAGAGGUGAGUGGAAUUCCGAGUGUAGAGGUAGAAAUUCGUAGAUAUUCGGAGGAACACCAGUGGCGAAGGCGGCUCACUGGCUCGGUACUGACGCUGAGGUGCGAAAGCGUGGGGAGCAAACAGG